AGACCGUGACACUUGCACAAAAUGUUCCAGUUUUAAGGCCAGUGAAUAGAAAUAUACUUAUUCCAGUAGGAGGUGCCGUAACUCCUGUUUCUAACUAUGGAUAUGUUUCUAACUAUGGCAACGGGGGAAAUUUACUCAAUGAAAAUAACUUGGUUUGUGCACUCUGCCAGUAUAUGUACGAGAUGUAUUCUCCCGUAUGCGCUAAUUUCUGCAACUAUUGGUUAGGAGCCCAAGCUUUACGAGCUUCGUCUCAGCGUUUAACGCUUAUAAUAGGACUGAGACAAGUAUUGGUACCAGUGCACACUGUGAAAAUUUAUCCUUAUCAAUGGAAACGUCUAUAUUAAAGUGUUUCAUUACAAUUAUUAAAUUUGA